GAACGCGAAGAACCUUACCAAGUCUUGACAUGCCGUUGACGUACCCGUAACGGGGUAUUUCCUUCGGGACAACGGACACAGGUGGUGCAUGGUUGUCGUCAGCUCGUGUCGUGAGAUGUUGGGUUAAGUCCCGCAACGAGCGCAACCCUUGUCCUUAGUAGCCAGCAGUAAGAUGGGGACUCUAAGGAGACAGACGGAGAUAAUCCGGAGGAAGAUGGGGAUGACGUCAAAUCAUCAUGCCCCUUAUGAUUUGGGCUACACACGUGCUACAAUGGCGUAAACAAAGAGAAGCAAGAGUGCGAGCUUAAGCAAAUCUCAAAAAUAACGUCUCAGUUCGGAUUGCAGGCUGCAACUCGCCUGCAUGAAGCCGGAAUCGCUAGUAAUCGCAGAUCAGCAUGCUGCGGUGAAUACGUUCCCGGGUCUUGUACACACC
rnacentral:rRNA from 1 species